UACAGAGGGUGCGAGCGUUGUUCGGAAUUAUUGGGCGUAAAGAGCUCGUAGGCGGUGUGUCGCGUCGGCCGUGAAAACCUGCAGCUUAACUGUGGGCUUGCGGUCGAUACGGGCAUCACUGGAGUUCGGCAGGGGAGACUGGAAUUCCUGGUGUAGCGGUGAAAUGCGCAGAUAUCAGGAGGAACACCGGUGGCGAAAGCGGCUCUCUGGAACGGUACUGACGCUGAGACGCGAAAGCGUGGGGAGCGAACAGG
rnacentral:rRNA from 1 species